AGAGCCUGUUGGCUGGCCACCUACCACACCCUGGCCUUGGCUUCUGGGCCUUCUCCUUGCCUCUUCCCACCUCAGUCUAACCCACUAGCAUCUUUAAUGAUUCCCAGCUGAUCCCAGCCACAUCCUGUCCCCAAGGUCCUGGCGCAGAGAGCAGGCCCUUCUCCAAUGGGCUCCUCAGAGCAUUAACCCCUGGCUGGCUAAGCCUCUGGGUAUAGCAAUCAGCCACAAUAGGAAGCCUAAGAAAAACAGAGACAAAAUCUGAUAGAGUAGUCAGACUUCUCUGAGGGUAGCUUGGGCUCCCCUGAUUUCCUUCCCUCUGGAGAAAUGCCCUAGGAAGGGUCUCCAUCUGGCAAAUACUCCCAUGCUUGCCCAUUGAGGUAUCCUUGACAAACCUGUUUUCUAUCUAAUCCUGAUGCUUCUUGUUGCAGUGUUCAGCCUUUUUGUUCGAGAUAAAGCUGCAUUGGGAUUAUGGGUUCUGCAGGGGGUCUGCCUGAGUUCCAACCCCACCUUCUGUUACUUGCUAGCUCUGUGAUCUUGGACAAGAUAUUUUCUCUCUCAGUGGCUCUGUUUCCUCAUCUGGGAGAUGGGGAUAAGAUUAGUACCUACCUUGUAGCAUCGCUAAAAGCAUGAUACAGAUUAAUCCACUUGAGCUGCUUUAAACAAUGCCCUGCAUAGCGCACUCAAUGUUAGCCCUCGUUGUAUUAUUGUCUUGGAUGGUGACUGGCUGGUCUGUGAGGACAGGGACUUUGUCUUUCAUGUCCUUGUACCCCCAUCACCCAGCACUGUUCUAGGCACAUAGCACAUGUUUGAUACAUAACAGAAUGAAGCAUAGACAAGACCGUCAGUUCUCUGUGCCCCUUCUAGCCAUGGACCUGAGUGAAGCCCACAGGUGGGCACCAGGGACAGUCUCCAUUCUCUUGCUGGGGGCCCGAGCCUACCCCAACCUGCCUCAGGCCUGUCAGCCCCAAGGCCAGUGGCUCCCUGGGCCAUACAGUAGGGCCCUCAAGGGCUGUACUUAGAAAGGCCAUUGGCAAUCAACUGACAGGCCCAGUGACUCCCACAGAACACAGCCUAGGUAGUGGCGGAGCUGGUGGAAGCCAAGAAAUUAAGAUACAUGGUAUGGGGUGUGCCAUGGUGGGGGAGGAGAAGCACAGGCUCAGGAGUCAGAGGUCAGUCCUGGAUUUGAAUCCCAGUUGCCACUUCCUGGCUGACUAACCCCCAGCCUCAGUUUCCUCACUUGUGACAUGGGGAUAAUCACUUCUCCUCUCAGAGCUUGGCAAAGGUUCAAGGAAAAAAAAAUCACGUCAAGCAUGCAGCAGAGUGCCUGGCCCAGAACUGGUGCCAAGGCAGUGACUAGAAGUUCCUGCCUUCACCCGGGGCCCUGAGAAGGGGGAAGCACUGGCUGGAGUGGGGGAGGCAUGCGUGGGGUCUAUUGGGUCUGGCCUUUCUGCCAACAGGGGUUUCCAGAUGGUGGUUCUGAGCAGGGCCCAGGCCAAGGGGCCACAGUCAGGGCCCCUGGCCGCCCAUCCCCUACACCCUGGCAUGGCAGGGUUCUUGGACUCCUGCCACAGCCGACUAUGUAAAUAAACCAGCUUUUCGCUGGCUGGGAGCGAGACUGCCCUAAGUGACAUUUCAAAUUAGUUCUGCUAUAUUGGACUUGAGCUCUGAAGGGCCUGGGCAUUUUUCUUCCCUAGCUCAUCCCUUUCUCUGUGUGGUGAAAGCUCUUAAAGCACACCCGGUGCAGGCAGAGGGCCAGGGCAGGGUGGGGGCAGGCCUUCUUAGGUGACCUGCUGAAGCACUUACCAGGCCCGGGGCCACAGCCUCCCUUCUCAGGGAGGUCAGGAGCGCUGCACCAGGGUAGCCCCCCCCUCCACACCAGCCCUCCCUGGCUGCCAUGGCAACCCAGCCUCCUUGCACAGGGCUCACACACCAGCUGGCAGGAAUGCUAAACGGAAGGAGGGCUGCAUCGUUGGCCAAGGAGAGGGGGCUGGGCCCUGGAGGGGGCACACGAGGGGUGGGCCAGCUGCAGGCCUGGCAGAGCUGAAAGGGAGAUAUGCUAGCCACAUGGCUGGCCUGACUCAGGCUGGGGCUGGGGCCGUGCCAGGAGAUGAGACCAUGGUAGGAGCGGAGAGCCGGGACCAUGGACACAUGCCACUGUAUUUCUGGCAAAGUGCUCCGGCUUCCCCACAGGGCCGAGGGCAGAGGGCACUGGAUUCAAGUCCUUUCUUUCCAGGCAAGUCGCCUUAGCCCACUUGGCCUCCAUUUCUUCAGGCUCGAGGCCUGAAAGUGUGAAAGAACUCAGACUAUGGAGCUGGACAGAGCUGAAGGGCACUCCGGGCUCUCACACAUAUGUCAUUUUACAUCUCUGAGCCUCAGUCGCCUCCUCAGUAAAUAGGAAUACUAGCAGCAGCCACUUCAUGAGCUCAUUGAGAGCAAGGGACAAGAUGAUGCAUGCAAAGCACAGAGCGCACUGCCUGGCACAUAGUAAGGGUUCAUUAAGUGACAGCUUUUACCACUACUGCUAUCCUUUUAGUUUUAUUCAAAGUGACACUUUCUGGAUCGGUGUCUCCCAGUAGAUUGUGAGACCCUGGGGGGCAACGAAGAGACUUAUUCCUCUUUCCACCCCCAGCAACUUCAGGCUCGGACAGGCCCAGAGCAGAUUCUGGGACAAGCAGCGGCAGGGGUGGGGGAGGGCAUGACGCAAAUACACCAGGAAUGCCUUGGGCUAAAUGGCUUCAAAACUCUUUUGUGGCUUGGACAUUCUGUGUUUUUAACUCCAUAAGCUCUAAGGAAGGGCUGCCAUAGAGUGUAUAAGCUCUGGAUACACACACACACACAUAUAUGCAUACAUAUACAUAUAUAUAUAUAUACACACACACGAAAGUGUGUGUGUGUGUGUGUGUGUGUGUGUCUCCUCAGGGCAUCUGGUUGACUCCAUGCAUGGAGCAUCCAGAGAGCAUCCCAAAGAGAAGAAAGGGGGACUGGGCCUCACCAGGGUCCGUAUUUGGGCUCGGCACACUCUACCUGGUUGGCAGUGCUGGACUGGCUGCUACUCGGCAUGAGGGGACAAUAGCACUUUGGAAUGUCCUCCAAGCAUGCCCCCUGAGAUGUGAGGCUGGGGCAGGGGCCCUGCUUGCGUGGGGUUACAGAGCAUACUGUUUCAAGUUGAUAGCCACUGAGCUGAACUAAUGUGAACUCUGGCCAAAGGCACCUUAGCCCCUCCAUGUUGUGUAUUGCCUAUGCCUGGAAUUCCAAUUUUCUCUGCAUCCUCCACCAUAUCUCAUCCUAGCUCACUGGCCAGGAACUACAGUUCUGAGCAGCUGUGGCUGGCUGAAGGCAAAGAUGAAGGGAGAGACAUACGACCAGCAUACCAGGCAGUGGAGGAGGGGCGGCUCUCACACCAGCAAUGAAUUCCUGCAGGUCUAAAGGCGCAUUUGCCCAUAGACAGGUGCUGGAACAAACACUCCUGCGCCCUUUGAAGGCCUGGGGAAGGCUAUCCUGAGGGUCAUCUGUGGAAACCAAACCAGGAAGGUCCUGAUGGCAAGAGUUUCCCAGGCUGUAAAAUCACUGCCACCACCUAUAGCCACCCAUAGCAGGAGAGAUGAACACAGCUACUCCCCAUGGCAGCUGCCAGACAGGCCUUGGGAACUUGGCAGGAGUGAGGGAGGUGGGCUAUAAAAGAGCAUGAAGUUGGAUGGUGGACUGCAAGAGCCAGGUUGCUCCAUGUUGGAGUGGAAGUAUACAGAUAAGCAAGAGGAAGGCUGGAGUGAUCCAUGCAGUAAUAGAUUGGAAUGGGAGACAUCAGUGUGAACUCAUGUUUUGCUUAAUAUGGAUACAAAUAGUUACGCAGAGAUGCACUUACUGAUACAUGUGUAUACACAGGUUAGUAUACACACGUACAUCUUCUUGCUUUGUUAGUUGAUAGGGCCUAGUACCCAGAUCUUGGUUUCUGAUACCAUUCUCCGCUAAAAGAACCAGAGUUCCUCGGAGAAGUGGUUGAUUUCAGGGCCAGAACAGGAAACAGACAAGAUGAGCCUGGGGCACCAUGAACUGCCAGAAAGGAGGAAGUGCCAAAAACAUAAAAUCCACAGUGAUGGGUCAAAGGGACACAGGAGCCAACUGAAAGAGCUCCCAAAGGGCAGAGCUGGAACUAUUUGAACAACGGAAUAAAUAAUGUAGUUUGGGAUCAUAACCCAAAGUAUAAAACAAAUAUCCAUGAGUCUAUAGUGAUAUAAGUGAUUAAAUAAAGAAAUAAAGGGAGAGGAGGCAAAUCUCCCUUGCAGAACUGCGAAUAAUUUAUGUUGAUCCUCCUUUCACAAGGAGGUGGCGCUUAUCUCUCCAUUCCACACUCCUUAAUUGUGGGCUGUGCAUUGCAACUUCCUUCCAAUGAGUAAAGUAUGGAAAGAAGUGAAAACACAGAAUAACUUUCCAGUGAUAAGACCUGACAGACACCUCAGCCAGGUGAUCACAGUCAACAUCAACAGUGAUAAGUCAUGUAGAGAGCAUGUACCCUUGAUAUGAUGUGUUGAGAUCACAAGAUAACCAAGAGAAAAAUAUCAGACAAUCCUAAUAGAGGGACAGCCUACAGAAUACCUCACCAACCCUCCUCCAAACUGUGAAGAUCAUCAAAAACAAGGAAAGUCUGAAUAACUGCCACGCAGAAUUAAGGAGGAGUUCCUGUCAUGGUUCAGAGGAAAUGAAUCUGACUAGUGUCCAUGAGGUUGGGGGUUCGAUCCCUGGCCUCGCUCAGUGGGUUAAGGAUCUGGCAUUGCCAUGAGUUGUGGUGUAGGUUGCAGACACGGCUUGCAUCUGGUGUUGCUGUGGCUGUGGUGUUGGCUAACAGCUGUAUCUCUGAUUCGACCCCUAGCCUGGGAA
rnacentral:lncRNA from 1 species